GUCUUGUAAUUGGAAUGAUGGUGACCUAAACCCUCACCAGAGUAACAAUUGGAGGGCAAGUCUGGUGCCAGCAGCCGCGGUAAUUCCAGCUCCAAUAGCGUAUAUUAAACUUGUUGCAGUUAAAAAGCUCGUAGUUGAAUUUCUGCGUUAUCGAGUUAUUGACUCUUGUCUUUAAUCGAUUUCGCUUUUGGGAUUUAUCCCUUUUUACUUUGAGAAAAUUAGAGUGUUUCAAGCAGACUUUUGUCUUGAAUACUUCAGCAUGGAAUAAUAGAGUAGGACUUUGGUUCUAUUUUGUUGGUUUUUGAACCUUAGUAAUGGUUAAUAGGAACGGUUGGGGGCAUUCGUAUUUAACUGUCAGAGGUGAAAUUCUUAGAUUUGUUAAAGACGAACUACUGCGAAAGCAUUUGCCAAGGUACGUUUCCAUUAAUCAAG
rnacentral:rRNA from 1 species